rnacentral:rRNA from 1 species
AUUGAACGCUGGCGGCAGGCCUAACACAUGCAAGUCGAGCGGAUGAAGGGAGCUUGCUCCUGGAUUCAGCUGCGGACGGGUGAGUAAUGCCUAGGAAUCUGCCUGGUAGUUGGGGAUAACGUCCGUACACGGGCGCUAAUACCGCAUACGUCCUGAUGGAGAAAGUGGGGGAUCUUCGGACCUCACGCUAUCAGAUGAGCCUAGGUCGGAUUAGCUAGUUGGUGGGGUAAAGGCCUACCAAGGCGACGAUCCGUAACUGGUCUGAGAGGAUGAUCAGUCACACUGGAACUGAGACACGGUCCAGACUCCUACGGGAGGCAGCAGUGGGGAAUAUUGGGCAAUGGGCGAAAGCCUGAUGGAGCAAUGCCGCGUGUGUGAAGAAGGUCUUCGGAUUGUAAAGCACUGUAAGUAGGGAGGAAGGGAAGUAAGUUAAUACAUGGCUGUUUUGACGUUACCAACAGAAUAAGCAACGGCUAACUUCGUG